AGAGUUUGAUCAUGGCUCAGGAUUAACGCUAGCUACGUGCCUAAGGUAUGCAAGUCGAACGCUUUUUUACAAAGCGCAAGCUGAGUAAAAAGGAGUGGCAGACGGCUGAGUAACACGUGGGAAUCUACCCUUAAGUCAGGCAUAGCUCACCGAAAGGUGGGAUAAAUCCUGAUAGUCCCUUCGGGGUAAAACUUUUGUGCUUAAGGAUGAGCCCGCGUCCUAUCAGAUAGUUGGUGAGGUAAUGGCUUACCAAGUCUAUGACGGGUAGCUGGUCUGAGAGGAUGGCCAGCCAGACUGGGACUGAGAUACGGCCCAGACUCCUACGGGAGGCAGCAACUAGGAAUUAUGCACAAUGGACGAAAGUCUGAUGCUGCGACGUAGCGUGGAGGAUGAAGUUUUUCGGAAUGUAAACUCCUUUUUUCCCAGAACAAGUUCUGAGUGUACGGGAAGAAUAAGUGCCUGCCAACCACGUGCCAGAAGCAUCGGUAAUACGUGGGACACAAGCGUUAUCCGGAUUCACUGGGCGUAAAGAGAUGCGUAGGCGUCUUGACAAGUUCUAUGUUAAAUCCUAAAGCUCACCUUUAGAACCGCGUAGAAAACUUUCAAGAUUGAGUAAGGUAGAGAAGAGGGGAAUUCCUGGUGGAGCGGUUAAAUGCGUUGAUAUCAGGAGGAACACCAAGGGCGAAGGCACCUCUUUGGACCUUUACUGACGCUAAGGCUCGAAAGCGUGGGGAGCAAAACGGAUUAGAUACCCUAGUAGUCC
rnacentral:rRNA from 1 species